AACGCUAGCUACAGGCUUAACACAUGCAAGUCGAGGGGAAACGAUAGAGAAAGUUUGCUUUUUCUAGGCGUCGACCGGCGCACGGGUGAGUAACGCGUAUCCAACCUGCCCACCACUUGGGGAUAACCUUGCGAAAGUAAGAUUAAUACCCAAUGACGUCUCUAGAAGACAUCUGAAAGGGAUUAAAGAUUUAUCGGUGAUGGAUGGGGAUGCGUCUGAUUAGCUUGUUGGCGGGGUAACGGCCCACCAAGGCAACGAUCAGUAGGGGUUCUGAGAGGAAGGUCCCCCACAUUGGAACUGAGACACGGUCCAAACUCCUACGGGAGGCAGCAGUGAGGAAUAUUGGUCAAUGGGCGAGAGCCUGAACCAGCCAAGUAGCGUGCAGGAUGACGGCCCUAUGGGUUGUAAACUGCUUUUAUAAGGGAAUAAAGUGAGCCUCGUGAGGCUUUCUGCAUGUACCUUAUGAAUAAGGACCGGCUAAUUCCGUGCCAGCAGCCGCGGUAAUACGGAAGGUCCGGGCGUUAUCCGGAUUUAUUGGGUUUAAAGGGAGCGUAGGCCGGCUUUUAAGCGUGUUGUGAAAUUCCGUCGCUCAACGGCGGACGUGCGGCGCGAACUGGUCCACUUGAGUGCGCGGGAGGUAGGCGGAAUUCGUGGUGUAGCGGUGAAAUGCUUAGAUAUCACGAAGAACUCCGAUUG
rnacentral:rRNA from 1 species